rnacentral:lncRNA from 1 species
CAAAUCAAAUCAAUUGUAUUUAUAUAGCCCUUCUUACAUCAGCUGAUAUCUCAAAGUGCUGUACAGAAACCCAGCCUAAAACCCCAAACAGCAAGCAAUGCAGGUGUAGAAGCACGGUGGCUAGGAAAAACUCCCUAGAAAGGCCAAAACCUAGGAAGAAACCUAGAGAGGAACCAGGCUAUGAGGGGUGGCCAGUCCUCUUCUGGCUGUGCCGGGUGGAGAUUAUAACAGCACAUGGCCAAGAUGUUCAAAUGUUCAUAAAUGACCAGCAUGGUCAAAUAAUAAUAAUCAUAAUAGUUGUCGAGGGUGCAACAAGUCAGUAACACAAGAGUAAGUGUCAGUUGGCUUUUUCAUAGCCGAUCUUUGAGAGUAUCUCUACCGCUCCUGCUGUCUCUAGAGAGUUGAAAACAGCAGGUCUGGGACAGGUAGCACGUCCGGUGAACAGGUCAGGGUUCCAUAGCUGCAGGCAGAACAGUUGGAACUGGAGCAGCAGCACGGCCAGGUGAACUGGGGACAGCAAGGAGUCAUCAAGCCAGGUAGUCCUGAGGCAUGGUCCUAGGGCUCAGGUCCUCCGAGAGAGAGAAAGAAAGAGAGAAAGAGAGAAUUAGAGAGAGCAUAUUUAAAUUCACACAGGACACCGGAAAAGACAAGAGAAAUACUCCAGAUGUGACAGACUGACCCUAGCCCCCCGACACAUAAACUACUGCAGCAUAAAUACUGGAGGCUGAGACAGGAGGGGUCAGGAGACACUGCGGCCCCAUCCGAUGAAACCCCCGGACAGGGCCAAACAGCCUGUAGUAACCCUCCAAGCUAGCUGUCGUUCCUCCAUCUCUUCAACCGAAAGGUAAUGUUAUUCUCUCCUUUUCUCUGGGGAUUUAUCUUCCCUUAGUGCUUUAACUCUCACACUAUUUUCAUGCUUUUGG